rnacentral:lncRNA from 1 species
AAUUAAUGUCAUAGCGUCUGUCAAGUGCCCCACACUCGGGGAGGCAUGAGUAAGGGGAUUGGGGAAGGGAGAAUUGCUUUAGAGAUAACCCUUGGGACUUUAGGUAAAUUUAUUCAAAACAAUCCAAUUCAAAAAAAUAACUAAAUAUAAGAAAUUUUAACAUUUACAUACUACACUAAUAUAUUUAAAAGUUUAAAUGUCUAAAGCAAAAACAUCUUGCUUUAAACAUGUAUUUCAUAUAUAAAUACACAAAAACAUGUUCAUGGAUUCACCGUUACACUUGGCACAUAUAGUGUCAAGUCAUCUCAUACUUCUUCUCUUUUCAUCCUUUCAAAGGAGUCCCUGAAAAAGGUAUAUAGAGAUGAGCUUCACAAGCCCAAUAGAAUACUAACACAACCUUAAAUUUAGGUAUAAUGCAAUAACAAGAGAAUUCAUGCAAAUGAAACUUCAAUGCAACAUGCUUUCUUUACCUUUUAUUCUCUCUUUCUCAUAAUCCUUCAACAAGUACGUAACCUUUGUUAUGUUUUGACAAAACCAAUAUCCUAAUUUUAGCUAGGAACCUACCAUUAGUAACCUCCUAAUUUUGGCUAGGAACCAACCAUUCUCAUGGGAUUUGUCCCGGAGUCAUCCUCAAAGGAAACCAUACCAAAUUCAAGGCUAGGAACCAACCUUUACCAUUUAUAACUUCAACAAUAAUCAAAAUCCAAAUAUCCUCAUAAGAACCUUUAAUUCAUACUUGCUUCUCAAACAAAAUGCUCAAACAAUGCAUGAUGCACAAGUACCAAUAUCACAACAAAGAUAAUACAAGUCUGCAAGAUAUUUUAAACAUUCCAACAUAUACUACAAAGUGAAUAUGAAAAGUACGUAAAGAAAAAGAAUAGCAUCAUAAGAACCUUAUAUAAGUGCGUGCAUAAUAUAAUUGUAUGUACCACAUACAAUAAAACCAUAAUAACUCGAUCACUAUAAAGUCUUUACAAGUUGAGUCCACACUUCCUAGAAACUAGACUUUCGAGGCUACAAUUUAGGUUCAAGACUCAUAUAAUUAUGUUUAAUAACAACUUAUUUGUAACUUGCAAAUCAAACCAUGUGCGCAGGAUUUUACUGUGUUGAUUGUUAGAAGCUGCACUUUCGAAUGAAUUUAAUAAAAUACUUCCACACUUCCGAUUAAGUUGAUAUUUGGUAUGGAUAAACUAGACUUACCAAUGUUUAAACAUAUAAAAUUUUCAAGUGAAGUUAACAGUUAGAUCUUUCUAAAAGAACCUUGGAACCUAUCCUAAAAAUAAAGGAUGGUUAAAAUUUUAUGCAUAUGUAUAUGUUUAUAUACACCACUUAUAACUCUUCCAAAUACCCAUAUAUGCCACACAUAUACUUAACCAAAUCAUUUAAUCAAUCUUUAAUAACCUUUUAAGGAUGAAUAGCUUCACAUUUAAACCUCAAACACAAAUAAAAAUAAGCAUGAACCAUGGUAAAACAUGCUUAAUAAACCAUGUAAUACAAUACAAAGAAACAAUUCAUGUGAUAAACAAAUAAAGAAUCAAAACAAUAGAAGAAUACCUAUUCAAGAGAUGUAUUAGAGUUCUCUACCUCUUAUAUCUGAAAAACUUAAAGAUAAGAAUCCUUUAAAAACUUCCUUUAGUUUCUUCUUGUAUUUUCCUUGCUUUCUUCUUCUUCUUCUUUUCUCUUCCUUUAAAAUGACCUAGUUGCUUAUGUAGAGACAAGCUCCUCUUAGUUAAAAAUCUGAUCUC